UGCCGAGUGGGACUUUGCUCUCCACAUGGACAUCCUGCCGGGCGUAUCCUCGUAAAGAAACAGAACCACCAGUAAUGCGAUAUCCGACGACCUCUUCAUUAGGACUCCGGACACCACCACCACCAGCUACUUGGCAGCUUAAGCGAAGCUGGAGGACCCGCUGGUUUCUAUGGGGAGGAGGAAAGUAGGGCGCCCGCUAAGGAACAGUUGGAGAAGCCAUAGCCAGUGACUGCCAGGAUGCUGGGCGACUUCCUGCAGCAUCAGCGGAACAACCCUGUUCCCAAUCCUGAUCCCACUUCCUCAAGGUACAAUAUGUCUAUUGGGACUCGGAGCUGGACUGCGGUGGCGCGGGAAAGAUGGCGAAGCAUCCGUGGGACGAGAAGGCUUUAGACUACUAGUUUUCUUAAAUCAAAAAAUUCGUUGAACAUUCCAUUUAUUUUAAUUUUAGUUCCUUUGAGCACCAGUACACUCUUCUUUUUAAAUUGCUCCAAAUGAUUUGUUUUCCGUUUGGCAACAAAAGCAGCUACUUGACAGUGAACUUUGAAAAUUUCGGUCGCACUACAAAAAAUACGAUUUUUUGACUAGUGAAACACUUAUCCGAUCUGAGUACUAGGUUUUAUGGUUUAAGCCUUCUAGUCACAUCGACGAAAACCUCGAGCUAACAAUAUCAGAGAGCUAGUGGCAAAUAGGUGGCUAACGCUUUUCGACGGCUUCUUUUCUCUUCGAGGUACUCAGAUGAGCAAAGGAAAUUAAAAAAAAAUACCAUAUUUUUGAGUUGAUUCCGAUGAACGCCUUUAGCAGCGGCGCAAAGGACAAGAACUUAAACUUUCGGUGUGUUCGCGCAAAAGCGGUGUGGAGAUUAAAAAUUAAAAAUGGAAGGAAAACCUCAAAAACGCCUGCAGGAGGUCAGUGCAAAUGAAAAAGGACGCCUAGUCGAAGCUUUUGCCCAGUAUUGUCGGACUUGACCCACAGGAAGCAAAACGAAAACAGAAGAUUAGAAGUGCUGGAGGUGGUCUAGUGGAGCCACAUUGACUUUUUUCCGGAAGUGUCCUCGCAAAGAAAAACCACCAGUAAUACUAUCUGCUACGAGUUCUCCAUUGGGGAAUUGUUGAGCUCCACCAGCACCAGCUCUUGGCAGCGAAUGCGGAGCUGGAGGUCGCGCUGGCUUCUAUAGGGAGGAGAAAAAAGCCCGCCCGUAAAGGGACAGCUGGAGGAGCCAGUCAUUGCCAGGAUGCUGGGAGACUUCCUGCAGCAUCAGCGGAACAACCUCGUUCCCAAUCCAGCUCAUUCUCACUUAAGGUCCAUGUUGGCAUAUUUCGAAUUGGAGCUUGACUGCAGAUGGCGCGGAGAAGAUUGCGAAGAAUCCGCGACACUAGAAGGGAGCCUUAAAUUAUUAGUUAACAUAAACAAAAACAUUCUUUGAACAUUCCAUAUAUAUUUAUUUAUUUGUGGACCAGCAGAUUCGUCUUUUUAAAAUCUUCCAAAACAAGAAAGGAAGUUAACUUCGGCAAGCUGAAGUUUGUAUACCCUUGCAGUUAUAAUUAUGAAAUUUAAGAAUACAAGAAAUGAUAUUCCCAAUAGUAUAACUUUAUAUGUCAAAAA